rnacentral:lncRNA from 1 species
AAGAUUGUCAUUGUAAUGGGCAAUGAAGGGUUACAAUUAGUACUAAAUGGGCAUUUCCCUUAUUUUUUCACAGGACCAUAUCCAUCGGAUGAUCAGGUUGAUGCUCUAUCAUCAGAUGACUCGUCUUCCUCAAACGCACAGAUCGAAGUCAUUACUGUGUAUAAUCAUAACAAGCAGUUAACAUCUGAAGGUGCUUUGAUGGGAAGGACAUAUCGAGGUGUAUCAGGACUACAUGAUACACCGCGUGGCUCUGUUAUUUUAUUUACCUGUAUAGAUGGGUUUAGGUCCGUUAAGCAACUUUAUGGACAACACCUCUGCAUUAUCUCACCAAUGUUCAGCGGAGGCAGUGGAACCAAUUGAGGAUAGGCAGUGAGGAGUGAGGACUGAUUGAGGCCCUUGAAUCCCAUCAUUCAUCCCUUUAAUGGCACCAUGCAGAGAGUAGGACUGCCAAGAAUUGGAUGCCAUCAAUGUCACAGAUUUAGAUGGGUUCCAAUCUUACAAAUGGUUGAAUUUGAAAAAUUAUAGACUUCAAGUAAGAAGAGCAAGCUUGGAAGUGGCAAUAGUCCAAGAGACGUGUGGCUGCUGGUGCCUACAAGCUUUUCUUGUUUUUGCAGUAAUAAAAUUCUG